rnacentral:rRNA from 1 species
GACGAACGCUGGCGGCGUGCUUAACACAUGCAAGUCGAGCGGUAAGGCCCUUUCGGGGGUACACGAGCGGCGAACGGGUGAGUAACACGUGGGUGACCUGCCCUCAGCUCUGGGAUAAGCCCGGGAAACUGGGUCUAAUACCGGAUAUGACUCCAUGACGCAUGUUGUGGGGUGGAAAGCCUUGUGCGGCUGAGGAUGGGCCCGCGGCCUAUCAGCUUGUUGGUGGGGUGAUGGCCUACCAAGGCGACGACGGGUAGCCGGCCUGAGAGGGCGACCGGCCACACUGGGACUGAGACACGGCCCAGACUCCUACGGGAGGCAGCAGGUGGGGAAUCUUGCGCAAUGGGCGAAAGCCUGACGCAGCGACGCCGCGU